rnacentral:rRNA from 1 species
CCCUUAGAUGUUCUGGGCCGCACGCGCGCUACACUGUUCGACGCAGCGAGUCUUAACCUUGACCGAAAGGUUUGGGUAAUCUUCAGCAAAGUCGAACGUGAUGGGGAUCGAUCAUUGCAAUUAUUGAUCGUGAACGAGGAAUUCCUAGUAAGUGCAAGUCAUCAGCUUGCGCUGAUUACGUCCCUGCCCUUUGUACACACCGCCCGUCGCUACUACCGAUUGAAUGGUUUAGUGAGAUCUCUGGAUUGACGCUGGCUAGGGGGCGACCCUUGGCCAGACUGUUGAGAAACUGCUCAAACUUGAUCAUUUAGAGGAAGUAAAGGUCGUAACA